UCGCCUGUUUAACAAAAACAUGUCUUUUUGAAUUAUAUAUAAAGUCUAACCUGCCCACUGAAAAUUUUAAAUGGCCGCAGUAUUUUGACUGUGCAAAGGUAGCAUAAUCAUUUGUCUUUUAAUUGAAGGCUGGAAUGAAUUGUUGGACGAAAUAUUAACUGUUUCAUUUAAAAUUUUUAUAGAAUUUUAUUUUUUAGUCAAAAAGCUAAAAUUUAUUUAAAAGACGAGAAGACCCUAUAAAUCUUUAUAUUUUUUUUUAUUUUAAUUAUAUAGAUUAAUUAAAUUUUAAUAAAUAAAAAUAUUUUAUUGGGGUUAUAUUUAAAUUUAAAAAACUUUUAAUUUUUUAAAAACAUAAAUUUAUGAAUAUUUGAUCCAUUAAUAAUGAUUAAAAAAUUAAGUUACUUUAGGAUAACAGCGUAAA
rnacentral:rRNA from 1 species